UACGGGGGGGGCAAGCGUUGUUCGGAAUUACUGGGCGUAAAGGGCUCGUAGGCGGCCAACUAAGUCAGACGUGAAAUCCCUCGGCUUAACCGGGGAACUGCGUCUGAUACUGGAUGGCUUGAGUUCGGGAGAGGGAUGUGGAAUUCCAGGUGUAGCGGUGAAAUGCGUAGAUAUCUGGAGGAACACCGGUGGCGAAGGCGGCAUCCUGGACCGACACUGACGCUGAUGAGCGAAAGCGUGGGGAGCGAACAGG
rnacentral:rRNA from 1 species